AGUGAGCGCUGGCGGUAGGCCAACACAUGCCAGUCGAACGGCAGCACCGUAAGAGCUUGCUCUUACGGGUGGCGAGUGGCGGACGGGUGAGGAAUACAUCGGAAUCUACUUUUUCGUGGGGGAUAACGGAGGGAAACUUACGCUAAUACCGCAUACGACCUACGGGUGAAAGCAGGGGAUCUUCGGACCUUGCGCGAUUGAAUGAGCCGAUGUCGGAUUAGCUAGUUGGCGGGGUAAAGGCCCACCAAGGCGACGAUCCGUAGCUGGUCUGAGAGGAUGAUCAGCCACACUGGAACUGAGACACGGUCCAGACUCCUACGGGAGGCAGCAGUGGGGAAUAUUGGACAAUGGGCGCAAGCCUGAUCCAGCCAUACCGCGUGGGUGAAGAAGGCCUUCGGGUUGUAAAGCCCUUUUGUUGGGAAAGAAAAGCAGCAGGUUAAUACCCCGCUGUUCUGACGGUACCCAAAGAAUAAGCACCGGCUAACUUCGUG
rnacentral:rRNA from 1 species